GUGAACUUCCAAAGAGAAGUCUAAUGCUAAUUACUAAAAAAAUUCAAAUGAAUGGAGGGGUUGGUAAGAUUCUACGUUAUAAACUGAUAAUGCUCUAGACUAGUUCAACAAUCAAGAUUAUCCUUUAGUUAUUAGCCAUAUGUCAGCUUCUAAUUAAAAGUCCAGUUCUAUCUUGUCGUCAAUGUUUAGUGAGGUUCCAAGGAGCCACUAUCAUCAUAUCGUUGGAUACGCUCUUCAUGUCUAGGGGCUGAUUCUUUUUCAUGGGCAUGCGAUUUUUUUUAAAACUAAUAGUAGCGAUGACAACAACAAUAACAACAACUACCCAGUAUACUCCUAUCAGGUGGGGUCUAGGGA
rnacentral:lncRNA from 1 species